CCUACGGGUGGCAGCAGUGGGGAAUAUUGGACAAUGGGCGAAAGCCUGAUCCAGCCAUGCCGCGUGUGUGAAGAAGGCCUUCGGGUUGUAAAGCACUUUCAGUGGGGAAGAAAGCCUUGGGGCUAAUACCCUCGAGGAAGGACAUCACCCACAGAAGAAGCACCGGCUAACUCCGUGCCAGCAGCCGCGGUAAUACGGAGGGUGCGAGCGUUAAUCGGAAUUACUGGGCGUAAAGCGCGCGUAGGCGGUCUGAUAAGCCGGUUGUGAAAGCCCCGGGCUCAACCUGGGAACGGCAUCCGGAACGGUCAGGCUAGAGUGCAGGAGAGGAAGGUAGAAUUCCCGGUGUAGCGGUGAAAUGCGUAGAGAUCGGGAGGAAUACCAGUGGCGAAGGCGGUCUUCUGGACUGACACUGACGCUGAGGUGCGAAAGCGUGGGUAGCAAACAGGAUUAGAUACCCGAGUAGUC
rnacentral:rRNA from 1 species